GUCCCCAGUCUAGUGAAAACCCAGGAAAAGUUAGGGAUCUCCGCCCUCUCCCUCAAAACCCGGCUCGGGCUCCCAGGCCACAUACAGUCACCGACCGCUGCGUCCCUAACUGCGCCUUCCGAAACCGCCGUAUUUGAAUUCUCUCUUGACCGGCUGGCCGAGGAUGGUAUGCAGAUGAGUCCUGGAAUCUUGUUGCCAUUUAGCUGCCAUGAGAGAAGCCAAUGUGUGAAGACGUUUAUAUGCCAGAAAGAGCAGAGCCAAAGAAAAACCCAAGGACUAGCAGCCAGAAGACCACACUGCCACUGAGCUCUUCUCUUCCAGAAGCCCAUGAUUCCCUGUGUUUUACCCAACUUAAUUAUUUUCUGAUACUCAGCAAACAAAGCAUCUGAUAUAAUUGAAUACCUUUUUUUCCAAC